rnacentral:rRNA from 1 species
UACGUAGGGUCCGAGCGUUGUCCGGAAUUACUGGGCGUAAAGAGCUCGUAGGUGGCUUGUCGCGUUGUUCGUGAAAACUCACAGCUCAACUGUGGGCGUGCGGGCGAUACGGGGCAGACUAGAGUACUGCAGGGGAGACUGGAAUUCCUGGUGUAGCGGUGGAAUGCGCAGAUAUCAGGAGGAACACCGGUGGCGAAGGCGGGGUCUCUGGGCAGUAACUGACGCUGAGGAGCGAAAAGCGUGGGGGAGCGAACAGG